rnacentral:tRNA from 1 species
GGAGAGAUGGCCGAGCGGUCGAAGGCGCUCGAUUCGAAAUCGAGUAGGCGGUGUUAGAGCCGCCUCGCGAGUUCAAAUCUCGCUCUCUCCG